UUUCUGGUUGAUCCUGCCAGAGGUCACUGCUAUCGGGGUUCGAUUAAGCCAUGCGAGUCGAGAGGGUUCGGCCCUCGGCGUACUGCUCAGUAACACGUGGAUAACCUGCCCUAAGGAAGAGGAUAACCCCGGGAAACUGGGGAUAAUACCCUAUAGGUUACAGAUGCUGGAAUGCUCUGUAACUCAAAGUUCCGGCGCCUUAGGAUGGAUCUGCGGCCGAUUAGGUUGUUGUUGGGGUAAUGGCCCAACAAGCCCGUAAUCGGUACGGGUUGUGGGUGCAAGAGCCCGGAGUUGGAUUCUGAGACACGAAUCCAGGCCCUACGGGGCGCAGCAGGCGCGAAAACUUUACAAUGCGGGCAACCGUGAUAAGGGAACCUCGAGUGCCUGUAUAUGCAGGCUGUCCAGGUGUCUAAAUAACACCUGAAGAAAGGGCCGGGCAAGACCGGUGCCAGCCGCCGCGGUAAUACCGGCGGCUCGAGUGGUGGCCGCUUUUAUUGGGCUUAAAGCGUUCGUAGCUGGGUUAUUAAGUCUCUUGGGAAAUCCGGCGGCUCAACCGUCGGGCGUCUAAGGGAUACUGGUAAUCUUGGAACCGGGAGAGGUGAGGGGUACUUCGGGGGUAGGAGUGAAAUCCUGUAAUCCUCGAGGGACCACCUGUGGCGAAGGCGCCUCACCAGAACGGCUUCGACAGUGAGGGACGAAAGCUGGGGGAGCAAACCGGAUUAGAUACCCGGGUAGUCCCAGCCGUAAACUAUGUGCGUUAGGUGUAUCGACGACCACGAGUCGUCGAGGUGCCGAAGGGAAACCGUGAAACGUACCGCCUGGGAAGUACGGUCGCAAGGCUGAAACUUAAAGGAAUUGGCGGGA
rnacentral:rRNA from 1 species